rnacentral:rRNA from 1 species
AUUGAACGCUGGCGGCAGGCCUAACACAUGCAAGUCGAGCGGAUGAAGGGAGCUUGCUCUUGGAUUCAGCGGCGGACGGGUGAGUAAUGCCUAGGAAUCUGCCUGGUAGUGGGGGAUAACGUCCGGAAACGGGCGCUAAUACCGCAUACGCUCUGAGGGAGAAAGUGGGGGAUCUUCGGACCUCACGCUAUCAGAUGACCCUAGGUCGGAUUAGCUAGUUGGUGUGGUAAAGGCGUACCAAGGCGACGAUCCGUAACUGGUCUGAGAGGAUGAUCAGUCACACUGGAACUGAGACACGGUCCAGACUCCUACGGGAGGCAGCAGUGGGGAAUAUUGGACAAUGGGCGAAAGCCUGAUCCAGCCAUGCCGCGUGAGUGAAGAAGGUCUUCGGAUUGUAAAGCACUUUAAGUUGGGAGGAAGGGCAGUAAGUUAAUACCUUGCUGUUUUGACGGUACCAACAGAAUAAGCACCGGCUAACUACGUG